rnacentral:lncRNA from 10 species
UGUCAAUUACUAGUAAUUCACGGUAUAAAUAAUUAAGCAAGGAAGCAUUAAAAAAUAUAAAAAGGUUUUAAAUAAAGUUUUAUUUUACAUCUUUUUUUUUUACUUACACAGAAAUUACCAAAAAAAAAAAAAAAAAGCAGAGAUUUCCCAUGUAGCCACAACCUAGUUUCCUCUCAUUAACAUCUUCUAUCAGUGUGUCUCACAUGGCUUAUUAAUAUCUUACAUAAUUUGUCACAGUUAAUGAACCAAUACUGAUAGACUAUUAUUAACUAAAGUUCACAUUUCAUUUGGACUCCCUUAGGUCUGUCUUACUCUGACCCAGGAUCCCAUCCAGGAUCCCGCACGACAUGUAGUCAUCACAUAGGCUCUUCCUGGCUGUGACAGUGUGUCAGGCUUUCCAUCUCAUGAUGACCUUGACAGUACUGAGGAGGAUUGGUCAGGAAUUUUGUAGAAUGUCCCCCAUUUUCACUUCAUGUUCUCAAGGUAAACUGUCAUUUUUGAUGUUCACUUGGAUCAUUUGGCAGAGCUACUGUUUGUCAGGUUUCUCCACUGUGAAGUUAUUUUUCCUCCUUGUCCAUACUGCAUGUGUUCUUUUGGAGCAAGUCACUAUGCAGAGCCCACACUCAUGGAGUGAGGAGUUGGCUCCACCUUCCUGAUGGCUGAGUGUCUACAUCAAUUAUUUGGAAUUCUUUUGCAAAGGAGAUUUCUAUGCAACUCCAUUAGCUUAUUCACCUAUGUAUACAAAUACAGACACCUAGAUAAUUACUUUAAGCUUCAGUUAUUAUUCAACACUGCAGCAUUGUGUUGCACAAUUCAUUCCUGUGUUGGCCUUCGGUAGCUGUUAUUAUUGGCUCUUAUUUUUCUUUGAUAUAUUUUAAUUUUUUUUAGUACUUACUUUCUGAUACUUCAAGAUUAUCCUGGCUCCUAUAUUUACUGUCCCAGUUCUAGUAUCAGACAUUUCUUCAAAGAGCCUGAUUCCUUUCAGAAUGGUAGGAAAACUUACAUCUGGCUGUUGAAUUAGCACAUUGUAUCUUGUCCCUCAUUAGCAAUGCUAGGAAGUAUAUGUGUGUGUCUAACCUACCUAUACACACCUGAUUAUAAAGUUUUCUAUGUAGAACUGUGUGUAUCUAUAUUAAACUAAACAUAAGUUUAUGUUUGAAGGGGUGGCCUGGCCCUCCACAUCUGUGGGUAUAUCUCAUCAGGUGGGAUGAGAGACUGAGAAAAGAAAUAAGAUACAAGACAAACUAUAGAGAAAGAAUAGUGGGCCCAGGGGACCUGCACUCAGCAUACCAAGGACCUGCACCAGCACCGGUCUCUGAGUUCCCUCAGUUUUUAUUGAUUAUUAUUUUCAUUAUCUCAGCAAGAGGAAUGCAGUAGGAGAGCAGGGUGAUAAUAAGGAGAAGGUCAGCAAAAAAACACGUGAGCAAAAGAAUCUAUAUCAUAAUUAAGUUCAAGGGGAGGUACUAUGCCUGGAUGUACACGUGGGCCAGAUUUAUGUUUCUUCCCACCCAAACAUCUCAGUGGAGUAAAGAAUAACGAGGCAGCAUUGCUGCCAACAUGUCUCGCCUCCCACCAUAGGGCAGUUUUCCUCCUAUCUCAGAAUUGAACAGGUGUACAAUCGGGUUUUAUACCGAGACAUCAAGUUCCCAGGGGCAGGCAGGAAAUGGUGGCCUUCCUCUAUCUCAACUGCAAGAGGCUUUCCUCUUUUACUAAUCCACCUCAGCACAGACCCUUUAUGGGUGUCAGGCUGGGGGAUGGUCAAGUCUUUCUUAUCCCAUGAGGCCACAUUUCAGACUAUCACAUGGGGACAAACCUUGGACAAUACCCGGCUUUCCAGGGCAGAGGUCCCUGUGGCUUUUUGCAGUGCAUUGUGCCCCUGGUUUAUUGAGACUAGAGAAUGGCAAUGAGUUUUACCAAGCAUACUGCUUGUAAAUAUUUUGUUAACAAGGCACAUCCUGCACAGCCCUAGAUCCCUUAAACCUUGAUUCCAUAUAACACAUGUUUUUGUGAGCUCAAAGUUGGGGCAAAGUGGCUGGGGCAAAGUUACAAAUUAACAGCAUCUCAGCAAAGAAAUUUUUCAAGGUACAGAUCAAAAUGGAAUUUCUUAUGUCUUCCCUUUCUACAUGGACACAGUAACAGUCUGAUCUCUCUUUCUUUUCCUAUAACGUUGAUGUCUCCACCUCUGAUCUACUAUCACAUGAAUCAUUCUAGCCUUCUCACCUUGCUAAUUUGUAACCUCCCACUUCACCAGUGAGAGAUCUGGUUCCUACCAUCUGCAACUUAUGUAAGUCAUUGUUUUAUUCCAGAUACAGAUACUGUGGUUUUACAAC